AGGAAUAUUGGUCAAUGGGCGAGAGCCUGAACCAGCCAAGUAGCGUGCAGGAUGACGGCCCUAUGGGUUGUAAACUGCUUUUAUAAGGGAAUAAAGUUAGUCUCGUGAGACUUUUUGCAUGUACCUUAUGAAUAAGGACCGGCUAAUUCCGUGCCAGCAGCCGCGGUAAUACGGAAGGUCCGGGCGUUAUCCGGAUUUAUUGGGUUUAAAGGGAGCGUAGGCCGGAGAUUAAGCGUGUUGUGAAAUGUAGACGCUCAACGUCUGCACUGCAGCGCGAACUGGUUUCCUUGAGUACGCACAAAGUGGGCGGAAUUCGUGGUGUAGCGGUGAAAUGCUUAGAUAUCACGAAGAACUCCGAUUGCGAAGGCAGCUCACUGGAGCGCAACUAACGCUGAAGCUCGAAAGUGCGGGUAUCGAACAGGAUUAGAUACCCUGGUAGUCCGCACGGUAAACGAUGGAUGCCCGCUGUUGGUCUGAACAGGUCAGCGGCCAAGCGAAAGCAUUAAGCAUCCCACCUGGGGAGUACGCCGGCAACGGUGAAACUCAAAGGAAUUGACGGGGGCCCGCACAAGCGGAGGAACAUGUGGUUUAAUUCGAUGAUACGCGAGGAACCUUACCCGGGCUUGAAUUGCAGAGGAAGGAUUUGGAGACAAUGACGCCCUUCGGGGCCUCUGUGAAGGUGCUGCAUGGUUGUCGUCAGCUCGUGCCGUGAGGUGUCGGCUUAAGUGCCAUAACGAGCGCAACCCCUCUCCUUAGUUGCCAUCAGGUUAAGCUGGGCACUCUGGGGACACUGCCACCGUAAGGUGUGAGGAAGGUGGGGAUGACGUCAAAUCAGCACGGCCCUUACGUCCGGGGCUACACACGUGUUACAAUGGCAGGUACAGAGAGACGGUCCCUUGCAAAAUGGAUCAAAUCCUUAAAGCCUGUCUCAGUUCGGACUGGGGUCUGCAACCCGACCCCACGAAGCUGGAUUCGCUAGUAAUCGCGCAUCAGCCAUGGCGCGGUGAAUACGUUCCCG
rnacentral:rRNA from 1 species